UACGGAGGGAGCUAGCGUUGUUCGGAAUUACUGGGCGUAAAGCGCGCGUAGGCGGCUUUGUAAGUUAGAGGUGAAAGCCCGGGGCUCAACCCCGGAAUUGCCUUUAAGACUGCAUCGCUUGAAUCCGGGAGAGGUGAGUGGAAUUCCGAGUGUAGAGGUGAAAUUCGUAGAUAUUUGGAAGAACACCAGUGGCGAAGGCGGCUCACUGGACCGGCAUUGACGCUGAGGUGCGAAAGCGUGGGGAGCAAACAGG
rnacentral:rRNA from 1 species